CUUCCCUGUGCCUUGUUCCCCCUCUCUCUGUUCCUUUGCGUUGCAAGCAGGCUGAAAGCUUGGUGUGAUGUGUUUUGAUCUCUGCUGCCAGGGGCCUUAGGGCAUUGCCAGCGAUCUACAACGUGGCGACAUGUCUCAGUCGCGUUGCAGCCGACGCUGACCUGCCCGAGUUCCUCUGAGGCAAGGCUGGACGCUGCAAUCUCUGGUAUUUAGAGCCUCCUCUUAAAAAGACAGGGG
rnacentral:lncRNA from 1 species